ACAAUUUAAGCCAUGUAUAAAUUGCUACGAGGUCUAUUUAGUAGUGAAUACCUAGUGCAAAGUUUGGGUUAAUAUUAGAGAGGAAGAAUAUGAGGAAGCUGCUGAGAUUUGAAAAGGUAAAAAGAAUGGUGAAACAACAGAAAGGGAAGCUCUACAUUAUGAGGAUUUGCAUAACUAUGCUUUUGUGUUGGGACAACUACUCUUAGAUUCUCUAUUCUAAUGGUUUGAGUACCUUUUUUGAUUUUUUACCUUCAAUUUUUUUUUUUUUUUUAAUCUUUGUCAUCAUUGUGUAAAUCACAUCCUAUGAGGAUUUGCAUAAUUAACUAUAGGUUUUGUGUUACAAGUACCUUAGAAUCCAUAAUAAUAGAUGAUUUAGUUUCCUAGAUAUGUUGAGUUCAAUUUUCUUUUUCGUUUUUUGUUUUUUGUUUUUUCAUGAUCCUUAUGUAAAUAUCGUGUUCUGUUUUUCUUCUUUGUAAUUGUAAAUUACAUUUUGUUACUUGACCUUCUCAUUUUUCCUCUUUGAAGAGGUCUAUAUGUUCUCCUUUUCUUUUCUUUAAUAAUUUUUUAUAAAUAUUCACUUCAUAAACAACAUGUAUGAGUGUGUGUGUGUGUGUAGAUUAAAAAAGCAGAGGAGCAAUCAUCAAACAUCUAAUUAUUCACUUUGUAUAAUAUUCUUCAUUAAUUAACCUAAAAAUGCAGUAAACAGUUUAUUAUAACUAAUUAAAAUAGAAUAAUAGUGUGUAAAGAGAAUGAGAGGAGCACAAUGAAAAUAUGUACUAUUAAUCAAUCUGAAAAGAAUCCAUAUUCCUUGCACUGUUUCCGGUACUAUAUAUGCCUUUUGGAAUAAGCAAAGGGACUAGGACAAGACAAUGGCUAAGAACAUUUUCAUAUUGUAAAAUAUCAAAGUUCAUGUAUUUUAAACCGACUACGACGAUUUUAUUCUCAUCUUACCAUAUAUUCUCUUUUCAAUAGUAAAAAGAUAAUAUUUGUUGAGACUAAUUAAUUAGUAGCAUAUCUCAAUAAUAUUCAUUCCCAACUACAACUAUUUGUACGAGUAUCUCCACAAACUGUUGAAAAAAACACUUGUUUAUAAGCGUGACAAAUAUGGGCUUCUUGUAUAAGAAUUAAGUAUUGAAAUAGUAGACAAAUUGGAUUGAGUGGAGUUCUGCAGGGAGACAAGCUGAUCACUCUGCUUAUUUUCUCUCCAAAUUAGUAGGUCCCCUUACAGGCUGGCACACACUCACCAAUCAGCAGACAACAUCUGUCAAUUACCUCAAAAUUUACAUUUUAUUUUUGUUGUAUUUUCAAAGUUCCAACUAUAUAAAUCUUGCUAUCAAAGAAUACAUAUCUUUAUUAGUUUCUCCAAUAUUCAUUUCUUGAAUAGCCAAACGUUUCAAGUUCUUAGUGGAUUUGGUCAGUUUCAUGAUCAUGAUGACAAGGGACUUACUAUUGCCAAGAGAAUUAAAGUUUAGGUCAUGGCAGAGGUGUUGUAAGUACAUUCAAGAACAGAGAACAAGGAUUUAUAUCAUUUGGAGAUGUUCAGUGACUCUUCUUCUUUGGAAUGAUAAAAUGAUUGAACAUUUUGAUGAAGAAGAGACUCCAAUAUAGCAUACUAUAUAUCUUUGGGUGCGGCCAAGUUUUUACAAACCACUCAACUGAGCCCCUGGAGAAGGGUGGGAGGAGGAAAGUAAAUAAAAUGACCAAGCAUUUGUUCAAGUCGAUGUUCCAACUUAUAAUGUUUAGCUCAACAUGGAAUUCAGAAGAUUUUGCAUGAAUCUUGUAAAUGAAGUAUAACAGUAGUUCAGUUUUUUUCAACUUCUUUACAUUUUUAGUGGGCAACAUGAAAGAGAGCUUCAGAAUUUCCAGCUCCUCUUUCGUCUUCCAUUGUUCUUGUCUUUGUUUGUAUUUUACUUAUUUACUCAUUUUCUAGCAACUAUUGUGUACACUAAGGACCUUCCUUUGGCCCUAUUAUUUAAGCAACUUAAUGAC